GAAAGAACCCAGUCUACACAUGAAUUGCUAAGGUCAAUGCACUGAAAAGAAGGAAGUUGAAGUUAGAUCAACAUAGAGAUGGCUAGUUUUUUUGCUGUUCUGCUCUACAAUGGACUAAUUUGAGACCCUCUCCCCCUGGAUGGCUGUGCAAUUAUUUGUACAGGCAAUUCACUCCACCAGGAAAGAGUCCUGUGGAAAUGAGGAGGAAGUAGAUGACAGUAGCACUUAGGUUAUUCUUAACAACGAAAAAGUUUACCGAAUGAUAGAAGUUCUGGCCAGAGUUUAAAGUGUUCUAUGUAUCAAUAAAAAAAGACAACAGACGAAACAUCUGGGAGCUUCUGCAGGAAAAAGAAGAAAGAAGAAUUAAAGGUUACCAAGCGGAACAAGGAAGAGAGAAAUGAAUUGUUACAUGGCAAUGAAGAAUAAACUCCUGAGA